GACCGGUGCCAGCCGCCGCGGUAACACCGGCAGCCCGAGUGGUGAUCACUAUUAUUGGGUCUAAAGGGUCCGUAGCCGGUUUAAUCAGUCUUCUGGGAAAUCUAAUCGCUUAACUAUUAGGCUUCCAGGGGAUACUGUUAGACUUGGGACCGGGAGAGGUAAGAGGUACUGCAGGGGUAGGAGUGAAAUCUGGUAAUCCCUGUGAGACCACCAGUGGCGAAGGCGUCUUACCAGAACGGGUCCGACGGUGAGGGACGAAAGCUGGGGGCACGAACCGGAUUAGAUACCCGGGUAGUCCCAGCUGUAAACGAUGCUCGUUAGGUGUCAGGAACGGUGCGACUGUUUCUGGUGCCGAAGGGAAGCCGUGAAACGAGCCACCUGGGAAGUACGGCCGCAAGGCUGAAACUUAAAGGAAUUGGCGGGGGAGCACUACAACGGGUGGAGCCUGCGGUUUAAUUGGACUCAACGCCGGAAAACUCACCGGGGGCGACAGCAAUAUGUAGGUCAGGUUAAAGGUCUUACCUGAAUCGCUGAGAGGAGGUGCAUGGCCGUCGUCAGUUCGUACUGUGAAGCAUCCUGUUAAGUCAGGCAACGAGCAAGACCCGUGCCCACUGUUACCAGCAUAUCCUUUAUGGAUGAUGGGGACUCUGUGGGGACCGCUGCUGCUAAAGCAGAGGAAGGUGCGGGCUACGGUAGGUCAGUAUGCCCCGAAUCUCCCGGGCUACACGCGGGCUACAAUGGUUGGGACAAUGGGUAUCUACUCCGAAAGGAGUUGGCAAUCUCUUAAACCCAAUCGUAGUUCGAAUUGAGGGCUGUAACUCGCCCUUCAUGAAGCUGGAAUCCGUAGUAAUCGCGUUUCAACAUAGCGC
rnacentral:rRNA from 1 species